rnacentral:rRNA from 1 species
GAUGAACGCUGGCGGCGUGCCUAAUACAUGCAAGUCGAGCGAACAGAUGAGGAGCUUGCUCCUCUGACGUUAGCGGCGGACGGGUGAGUAACACGUGGAUAACCUACCUAUAAGACUGGGAUAACUUCGGGAAACCGGAGCUAAUACCGGAUAAUAUAUUGAACCGCAUGGUUCAAUAGUGAAAGACGGUUUUGCUGUCACUUAUAGAUGGAUCCGCGCCGCAUUAGCUAGUUGGUAAGGUAACGGCUUACCAAGGCAACGAUGCGUAGCCGACCUGAGAGGGUGAUCGGCCACACUAGAACUUAGACACGGUCCAAACUCCUACGGGAGGCAGCAGUAGGGAAUCUUCCGCAAUGGGCGAAAGCCUGACGGAGCAACGCCGCGUGAGUGAUGAAGGUCUUCGGAUCGUAAAACUCUGUUAUUAGGGAAGAACAAAUGUGUAAGUAACUAUGCACGUCUUGACGGUACCUAAUCAGAAAGCCACGGCUAACUACGUG